GGUAUCUACGCAGCAAGGUCGUGAGGUCAGCGAGGGGAGCCCCAGACCGCUCCGACUGGGAAACGGCCUGGCGCCGCUCGCCGGCUAGGGCAGCUUUCCUUCCUCCACUGCCGGCCCUUGUAGCUCCGCAGGGGCUGGAGGGCGAGGCCGCAGCGGCGAAAACGACUGAAGUCCGGGCUCAGCCGCGGGCUUUAGGCAUGCAGAGUGGCAGAGAGGCCAGGAAGCAUCCAGGCCACAGACUGAGCCACCCAAAUGGAAACGUUGUGGACCUCAAGACAUCUUUUGACUGCACAGAGAGAUGUUGCCUUCCGUAUUUCUAGCAGCACAACUCCAAGCCUCACCCAACAAAAGUGUCUCAGAAAAUUCGUUCAGGAUACUUCUUCACUGGGUAAUAAAGUAUCCGGGAGCUGUCUGAAGUAGCUGCAGAGUGUCAAGAGAUGUUGUUGGCAAUUCCUUUGCAGUGUUACUGGUAAAUAGAGCUUCCUUAUACCAAAGAUUUUCAACUAGUGUGGGAUUUUGUAGGGUGAUCAACAGUUAGAAAGACCUUAGAGGCAAAGGUUAACAGUGUCUGUCUAAACACUGUUCAGGAAAGAGAC
rnacentral:lncRNA from 1 species